CCGAGGAUUUUCCCAAAUUUGUAUCGAUUGGAAAACGAGGCGGGCGGCGGGCGGGCCGGGCCGCCCCGCACCGCCGGGCCCGCGCAGGGGGCGGGGGGGGCCCGGCUCGGCGCCGCUGCCGCCUCUGCUCUGCUUUGGCCAACUUUUCCCCCCGGUGCGAGGACCCGUCCUCCCCGGGCAGGGACCGGGCGUGCCCGGGGGUCGCGCCGCCGCGCCGCGCCCGCGCCCCUCUGCCCGCGGCUCGGCAGCAGCAUCCGGGUGAUCGGGCGGAAAUGGCGGGAGCUCAGGGCGAAAAGGGGGAGGCGCAGGGAUGGAGAGGGAUUUAAAGGGGGUGAAAUUGGGGCGCUCCAAGUGCUCGUCUGUACGGGCGGGAUGGAGCGCGGGCCCGGGGGCGGUGGCGGUGCGGGGGAAGGAGCUGGGCAGGCCCGGGGCUGCGUCCGUGUCCGCGGCGGGGGUCGCGAGCACCCAGGCGGCCGCGCAGGGGCUGCCCGCGUGCGGGACUCGGCGGCGGGGGCGCCCGCAGGACAGAUGCCGGGCAGCGGUAGGAGCCGGGGCCCCCGGGGGUGCGGACUUGUGAGCGGAGCCAUUUGCAAAGUUAAUUCUUUCUGGCUGUGGUUGCGGGGGGGAUUGCGGGUGCGGGGGACCGCGGCGCCCGCCCGCCCGGAGGGAGCGGAGCAGAAACCGGGAUGUUUUCAUCCGCUCCGAAAGAUGGAGGGGAGAAGGGGGCGUGUGUGCUGAGCUCGUCCAUGCACAGAAGUGCUGGAGAAGUGUGACGAGGGGCUUGGCUGAAAAAGAACUAGACAGCGGGGAGCUGGGUUCCCCCCUUUAUCAAACAUUUCAUCCAGGCAAACACUUCUGAGGAAAGGAGUGUGAUCCCACGACUCGGAUCCUUUCGGCCAGAGUCGAGUCCAUUCCCUCUCCUCCCCCCUCUCCCCCCCUCCACGCACAGUUAAUCGCUGAGUAUUGUGUUUCAGUGAAGGGGUGUUUUGUGUGUGUGUGUGUGUGUGUGUGUGUGUGUGUGUGUGUUGCCUGCUUGCAUUGUGCAGCAAAGCGUCUGGACUAGUUGGAGAACGUUAUUCCUAUGUUUUAAGUUUGGGAAAAAAAAUAUUUGUGUCCAGGGAUCUUCUUUUAGAAAGCUCCCCUCCCCUUUGCUUAAAAAACAGAAUAAGCGAGGCAAUAAGUCAGAUACUAUCUCCAGCCAGUAUUUAUAUUGGCUUAAUAUUUAAAUCUCGUAAAAGUAAUGCUUUGCUUAAAUAGUCCAGAGUUUUUGCAAUAAACCAGGGUGUGCAGCCCAAAGUGUUUCUUUGGCAUUCUUGCACUUUGCCCCAAUUCCGCUUAGCUUCCCUCCAGUGUGUGGUCUUUGAGUUGUGUAAGGAAACCUCGUCCCCUCGAACACAAACCCAGGGUUGUGGAAUUUAAAAAACUUCCUAAAGUUAAAGCACAUUCUUUCUUCUGCCUCCCCUUUUUGCUUUUUUGCUUUUAAACAUCUCCAAUACUGGGCUAGGUUUCCGGAUUAGGCAUGCAUCUGUAUGCCAGUGAGAAAAAGAAAGGGGGAAGGAAAAAAGAAAAUUAAUCAACAGCAAAAUACAAAUUCAGACUUGAAUAGAUUUUUGGCAGUUCACGGCUAAUAGGUUUCUACUGUCUCUGUCCUGUAAAUUUGACAAGUUAAAUUCAUUUAGAGUGUUCCUUAGCCAGGCAAAACUCACUAUGACUUUAAUUAGUUUAAUCCAUUUUAAACUUUGAUGCCAAUCUUACUUGUCUGUAUAGUUUAUGGGGCUGUUUUAAACUUUGGUUUCAUUGCAUAGAUUUUUGUUGUUGUUGUGGGUAAUAUUUAGAGUUUGAAACCAACCUUUUAUCAUUUUGCCAAUUAAUUAUUCUCCUUUAAGAAGCAGUCAAGUUUUUAGGUCUAAAGUUUGCAAUUAUUUAAGGAAACAAAAGGUAAACUGUUUAAACCCAAAGCAUAACAAAGAGAAUUUUAAAUGUUACUUAUUUCUGAAAUUAUUUGGAAUGUCUGCUUUGUAGUAAUUAACUACUGUUUUCUCCUUACUAUCAAAAUGCUUUUUUGAAAAGGGAAAAAAGUUUCAGUACUAUUGUUGUAUUUUCCAAGUGAAUGAUUUUACAAAGGUCUCAAACCUUUAGAGGGUAGUGGUUAUAAGGCUUAUUUAGUAAAAAUGUUUAUUUAAAAUAGCAAAACCUCAUUUAGCAUUUAAAAUACAAAUUCACCAAAAUACUUAAAACUAGGUGCAAGUGUAUAUUAAAUUAAGUAUCAAAGAUUUCAGCUAUUAAUUUCAUAUAUAUUUUGUCUUUAAUUUUUCUGGUAACAUAUUUAUUCUAUAUUAUUUUUGUAGAAGGUUGAUUCCAAAAUGCAGGGAAAAAAAACAGUUGUAAUCUUUCCUUUCAGACACGAUAACACAGGACUUCUGUGAUUAAAACAAAAGAAAAUAAAUAAGUAGAGUUAAAUUCUGGCUGAAGUUAAUGCAAGAUAAAAUUGUAAAAUAUUAAAAGCUAACUUAGAAGAAUGAGACAGAAUCAAUGUGGCUUUUGAAGAAAUUCCUUUUUGUUGAAUGUAACUGAUCUGUUUUAGAGUAAAUCAUGCACAGAAGGCCAUCACUUCGAGAAGUUGCUAACUGAUUUAUCAUUUAUAUUGAAAAGUCUGUGAAGUAUGCUGUUGUCCAGAGCCCUUUUUCUGUUGUACUACUGGCAAUUAUGAUGAGCAGUGCAAUAUUAAAAGGGCAUUGGCUGGCAGAAACAUGACCCCUUUUAGCAGCCCACCCUCUUCAGAGUGGGCAAACAACCCUAAAAUAGAUGCCUCCUUCAGUGUAUUCAUGCACGUGUGUGAAAUAAGGUUAAAAUUUAUACAUGUGGCAGUGCUUUUACAUAUGGAAGGAGAUUUGGGAUUGUAAGUUCUCACAUGCCUUGAUAUACAAUAGUGAAUUAUUUAAAUAUACCAAGUUUACAACUCCAGAUAUUUUUGGGAGUUUUCCAGGCAUCAUAUUACUGGUUUUGUUUACCAAUAUUUUCUUAGUGAUUCAUUAUUCAUUCCCUUUCAUAAUGUCUGUUGAAAUUUUAUAACCAUUUCUUGAUGGAUUUUUUUUUUUUUUUUUUUGCUAUAUAAUAACCUUUCCCUAUAUAUUUAAGGUGGUCUGAAUUUAAUGCUGCUAUUUUGUUGUGUGACUGGGUCUUGUAUUGUGAUUUUUGUAUGGUGACACACGCUCACAAAAAUAUACGUGUGAGAGAUUGUUACACACACACUUUGUGGGUUUUUUUUGUCUAUAGGUCUCAUCACAUUCUUGUCUACAAAUUCUGUAACAUUUUCCAUAACACUUUACAGCACUGUUUAUCUAUACCAUUGCAUCAUGCUUUAUAGGCUUUGUGUUCAACCAUCAUGAAACAGUACAGUGCAAUUAAGAAAACUUCUGAAUGCAUUAUGGCACCUAUUGAACAUUUAUUUUAAAUUAGGUAGUUAAGAUUAAUUUACUGCAUUAUUUGCCUUUUAUGGAAACCAGUACUGUGAGGAUGCUGAAUUAUGCCUAUUGUUCUUUUAUUCUCCCUGUGUUCAUAGAAAAAUAUUCUAACGUACAUCUAUCUUUAAAGUGUACUGUGCUUGGCCAUGCUGGGUAUGUAGCAAAAGAUUGAAACUGUUUGUUUAACAAGCCAUAUCUAACAGUGGUCUGAUUGAUAUUUUUAACUAACUUUUUUGUUGUUGUUUUACCUUGUCUAAUUACGAUCUCAAAUAAACUUUAAGGCAUGCAGAGUUUUAUUGGGGCUAAACAUAAAAACGUUAUUGUGGUCAAAAAUCUAAUGUAACAGUCCCUUACAAAAGGAUGCAGGGACAGCUGUGCAGAAUGUGACAGUGGCUGCUGGUAUCGCUGGCUCUGACAAUGUUGCACUACUGUCUGCACAAAUAAAGCAGUGCAAUAAUAUUGUCAAAGCAUUUGGUUCCAGUCCUAAUACAUCCUUAUGAUCAGUUACUGUUGCACACCCAGUCUCUGACGUUGUGGAACUUCAUAGUUAUUUAAUGCAUUUUAAUAGGCAGCCAUCCCUCUGUUCCCCUCCCCCCCCACCCCAAGGCUUAGGUGAGCAUAAGAUUCCAAGAUCAUUUAAAACCUGACUCAAACAAUAAAUAGGUUGGAGGGGGCUCUUUUUGGUUGGGGGGUUUCUUUUUUUCUUUUCUUUUUUUUUUUUUUAAGGCUGAAUGGUCUUAUGGAAAUGCCUUGGGUUUUUGUUCCCGUUUGUGACUGCUUCAGUGUACAAAAUGGACUUCCCCUCCUACCACUGGUGUGUGUUUGUGUGUCCAAGUUGUACAAUAAAAAGACAGCCUAUUCAAAUUUAAAAGCCCUCUUGUCCUGCUUUAGAACCACCACUACCUUUUACCAAGGCAAAAAACCAAAAGCCUCUCUCCCAGUUGGACCUUUUCUUUAUUUCCGGUUUUAAACCAAAGGGUUUUUAUGGACCUAAGGAUGCUAUUGUUGUGUAUGGAAUCUAGUGAUUGCAUAUAUUCACAGGCUAUUUAAUUUAUUUUUUUCCUCCCUGAUAUAUAUUUUUUUUCUGGGUGCAUUGUAGCUGUUAGUUUUUAGAGGAGUAUGUUGUGAGUAAAGUAAAAGUAAUACGUUCAUUUGCUUAAAAAAACCUAGGGGGCAUAUAAAUAAUCAAUAGGCCUUUGAAAGACCUGAUCUUCCUCGGCUCUUCUCAGUAGUAAACGGGAAGUGAAUCUAGGAGCUGCAUUGGUGAUGUAGGCCUGGAAACAGUUGCGUUGCAUUAGGAAUUGAUCUUUAAAUAACAAUAUGUUGGCGACUGUCACUUGGAUUGUUCUUGGGAUUUUCACUUGCAACUGCUAAGGAAGGGGGUGGGGGUUGUUAUCUUUUUACAGGGGCUUUGGGCUGGUACCUUGGGAGAAGGUGCAGGGAAGCCAUAGUAUUGGAAAUCAAAUCUCUGUAAAUGAGAAUUUUCGAUUGGAAUUGUAUAUCCCAACCCAGGCCAGGGUGGGCUAGUGAGCAAAGCAUGGGAGGCAGAAAAUGGAGUACCACUUCCUAGAGGGUUGAAUCCCAUUUCAGAAGGAGCAGGGGAAGCUUAUGUCCACAAUAAAGCCUUCCCAUUCUUAAUUAAAAAAGACCUUUCAAUCCCUGUCUUUAUUGUGAGGGGUGAGGAGAGCCUGUCUCCCCUCCACACCCAGAGGAGGAGGGGGAAGGCUUCUAGUUUGAACCAUUAGCAAAAUGAUGGUGGGUGAAAAGAAAUCAGGCAGCUGAUGUGGUAUGUUUCACAUACCUAAGCAGAGGUAACCUGAGCCUGCCUGGCUCUUUCUCCUAGGGUUUUUUAAUGCAUCUCUGUGCAUUGUAGCAUGUUUGCCAUUUUUGCGUGUGAAGGAAUAGGAAGCCUGUUCAGUGGGGGUUUUUUGUUUGUUUUUUUUUUAAUUUUCUUUUUUUCCUCUCCUGGUGCUCAAUUAAUCAGGAGCUGGGGAAGAAUGAAACCAGGAAAGGCUUUCCUUUGUUGGCAUGACCAUACUCCCAAUGACAUAACCGGGAGCAGGAGAGUAGCAGCUCGGUGACCUCGGUGCAGUGCUAAAAAGGGAUCCCUUUCCUGUGUGUGUCUAGGGGGAGGGAGAUCAGGUGGAAGCCAUCCCCUCUCGGGGAAGCACCUCGGCGCUGUGUGUGUAUGUGUGUGUGGGUGUGCAGGCAGACACAUGGAUGAGCCCAGCAGCAAGUGAAAACAAGUGUCAGUGAGUCCUUGGGGGUGGUGCAGGAUGGAAGAUGGCCUCACCAGCAUUGCAAGCCUUGCUGCUUGCCUGCCUGUGCGGAGCUAGGUGCCUUGAGUUCCACCCAGUGGGCGCGUUCCUGAGGCCCCUGCAGUGCAAGCCGAGCAGUGCUCCCGCACGGGUGAGACAAUUAAUUCUGCGCAUGGGAUAUUUGCUGAUCGGGAAGUUAGUCCUAAGCAGCAAAAGGCACGACACAAAGGAGGGAGGGGGCUCGUCUGGGAGGGGGGUUCCCUGCAGAUUUCAGGGCUGGGAUGGAGGUUGCACAUUCCAGCCCCUCCCUUCCCCAAUCUCUCCCUCUCUCUUUUUUUUUUAACCCUGCCUGGCUGAGGAAUGUAGCAGCGAAGGGGGGGAAGCAGUGGAGGAAAGAAAAAGGGGGGGAUUCGGAAGCAAAGGCCUCUUCAGGAGGCUGCAUUUGUGCAAGGGAAACCAUUUGCAUGUGUGUGCGGAGAUUCCAGCGUUUGUCUCCAGUUGGGAGCGAGGGGGAGGGGAGGGGGCGCGGGAGGAAUGCAGGGAAUCAGGUCGGGGCGAGGGGGAAGGGCUCCGGGAGAGCUUCCAUCCUGUUGUUGCAUAAACUUGUUAAAAGAGCCCUCCUCUGCGAGGGCAGCGCACACAGGGCAGCAGUGUGCGGGAGGAGGCCAGACCUGCGCCCUGGCUGCACAACCAAUUGGAGCGGAAAGUGAAAUCAGAUGGUUUUAAGUUUUCAGAGGGAUUUUUUUUUUCAGGGGGACUUUUUGAGUCAUUGCAUUUAGUGCUGGAUUCAUAUGAAGGUCGCUCAUGCUUUGCUUUGACUUGGGUGGUUUGGGGGAGGGCCUCGCUCAGCAGGGCCAGGAGGCGCAGUUUUGGGAUGGGGUUUUUCCACCCCCCUGCAAAACCUGGUGGUGCUGAGCUGGAGGGGGGGAUGCGAUAAACCCACCCAGUGCAAAUACAUUUUGCUCUUUGCUCGCGGGUCUGCAGGGUGCUGGAUCUGCGCCGGGGAGGGUGCCUCCCUCUUUGUGACCAGGGGGGGGACAUUUUGGAGUGCCCCAAGGCCAGGCCCACGUGCUCAGCAUCAGGGCUAGGGCACUUUACGGCAUUUUGUUUGCUUUACUAUAUUUACUGCAAGGCGGGAGCUCAGUAUUUCCAAGGUGAUAGGCUUCAGCCCUAUUUUGCUCCUACAGUCAGUACCACAGUGCCUUUUUUUUUUCCAUCAGACAGCAGAGUGCUGGUAAACACCAUGCAGAAAAAGCCAUAUUGUGGGGUUACAAAGUCUAGGCUGUUUAAGGAGCUCUGUCAUUCCUUUUAAUGGAGCUCACUGACGCAGAUCUGGCUUCUGCCAGCCGAGGAAAUGUUGCUGCUGAGAAAAGGGUUAUUGAAACCCACAAACUAAAUAUUUUAAGCGAGAAUCAAAUGGCAGGACAUUCUGGAGUGUAAUCCCCUCUGAUUUCAGGAGAAGGGGACUGUAUUGAUAAAUGACUGUGGGUGACAGCGAAUCCCCCCAGCUCAGUGGGUGAAAGCUGCUUGGGAAGCUAAUGUUUUCAGAGAGGAUUACAAACCCUUACGCUCUGGAGUCUCUUGCACACCUGGACAGGUUGACUCUUGCAUGGAAGCAAGAAUCCCCUUUUUUCUGGGAGGAUUUGUACAGACUUGCUAGAUAGGCUUACAGAGUGGGGCUGGAAUGCCAAGAAUUUUUUUCUUUUAAAGAAAAAGAGAAUUAAGAAGACAACCCUCCCCAGUUUUAAAACAAUGAUCUUUAAAAAAUCAAAUAGGAUGUAAAACUCUAAAUCAAAUCUCAACAUACAGCUGUUUCCACAGCGUUUGGUCUGACCUUUGGUAACUGUGUCAAUUCCUUUGCAGAAAACAGAUUGUAGGCUACACAUAUAUACGUGGUAGAGCAAGAUGGCUUUUUAAAACUGCCUAGCUCCUUUAGCUAUUGAAGUGCAUACAUAUGGACAGAGAAAUAGGAUUGGGCUGGUGGUUGGGUACCCAGCUAUAGCUUGUAAGGUUGCAGCUGAUUCAAUAAUAAAAAUCUGCUUCCUAGACUGGCACCUUAACCAGGAAAAAUGAAAUAAAAAAGUAAUGGAUCUAAGUAAGGAACUGGAUCCUUAAACUAAAUCGGGGUAUCCAGGGUCUGGUCUAGUACUUAAGCAGGAGACCUCUGAGCUCUGGAAGCCAGUGCACUACUUUAUUUAGCCCAGAGCUGCAUAAUAGGGUCAGUUUAGUCUACUGUGUCUAUUAACAUCAAGAAUGGGUGGCUUAAAAAUACUGCAGUGACUCCAGCACAGUCAUGCAAGUCAAAACUCCAAAAUGUUGCCUUUAUUGAGCAGCAUUUAAAGCGUCACUUCCAUACUAGUCCUGGUGACAUUUCCAUUUAGUUUCUAUAAAUGUGAUUAAAGGCGAGAGAGGUUUCUAAACAUAUCUAGAGACACUCAGCCUCUUAGAGUAUAAAUAGAAUGCAUUUCAUAAUCUUGUGUUUAAAUGUUUAUUUUAAAAUAACCCCCAUAUACAUUCCAGGGAAGCAUUCCUGCAAUGGGGAAGGGAUCAACACAGGCUUUGCAUAUUGUUUGCAAAUGGUGUGAAUAUUAUUGGGUAUUGAUUCAGUCUUUUAUUUUUCUGUCUUGCAAGAGGGGGGAGAGGAGGGUGUAGGAGACCAGUACAAAUACACCGUCACAGAGACCCUGGAGUGUACUUGGACAGUUGAAGAUAAGGACAUUCUUGAGACACAUCUAGGCAUUGAGGGCAGACCCAGCAGUGUAAAAACAGAGUAACAGAAUGGUGCAUUUUUCUCAGACCUUAAAGUCAUAGUUAAAAUUCAUAACUGUGCCCCUUACUCUUUCAUGUCAGUUGUAGAUUUUAUAAUAAUAUCACAGGUCAAAAUUGUGUAGAGACUGUUGAAUUCUGAUUUUUUUUUUUUUUUUUUUUUUUUUGGUUUGCCGUUUCAAAGAGUAACACCACCUGAAGUUGUGAAUUGUGACUUUACAGUUUAAAGUCACCAGUGGGAACAGUGUUUGAGCCACUGGAGAGGUUGAAAGGGUGAAUGGGGGGCUUUUAAGUCUCAUUUGAAAUAACAUACAGGCUGAAGAGAGGAAAAAGACUUGAUAAAUAUAAACAAAGUAGAAACUGGAGUUAUUGGACUGCAGUAGAUGGAAAGGUAAGGCCAAGACUAGCUCUUGUCUUUUAAAAAAAUGCUUUAACCCUAACUAAAGAUCUAGCUGCCAGAGACUGUUGAAAAGCAGAAUGGCAGGAUUAAAACAGAAUUUGCCAAGGUAACGAAAAUACCAAAGUUUGGUAAAACCAUUCUGAUCUGCUUACAACACCCUUCUGUGAACAUGGCCUUUUAAUUACUGUGAGCAAAGGUUACUACAAAUAAAUAAUACAUAAAAAAAGAUUCCUAUCUGCUUUCAACAAACAGGACAAACUGAACUACAUGUUGUUUUUGUUUAUCAGUCCAUUAAAAAAACUAAACAAUUAAUGCAGCCUCUGCCCUAUUCCCACUUCUGUGCAAGUGUCUUUGGUUUUUAGUUUCUGUUGGCAAGUGAGCCAACAUCAAAGGGGAUAGAGGGCUGUCUCGCACCAGCAUGCCAAACGCCAGGGAUCUCUAAUGGCAAAGACCAGAUCAAUGUGGAAUGCAUAAAUUAGCCAGGAUUCCAUGAAUUAGGGGAUUGUCUCUCCAUUGCACUUUUAUUUAAUCCGCUGGAAAGCAGGCUGAGGAAAGAGAAGCUUAAAGUGUCAAAAUCGUGAAUUGGUUUGGGAUGGCCUGGGAAUAAAGUUUCCUUCCUCCUCGCUCUAGUUUUUCGAGUGUUACUAGAUGACAGAUACAGUGGGGCAGGUUUACUUAAUAGUCCAGUUCCAGUAGAGCAGGUUUACUUAGAUAGAGGAGCUCCGACUCCCAGAGAAAAUGGGCAAGUUCUGGCUCUUCUCUUCAAUUUUUGUCUUUCUGGUCGCCCAAGUAUUCAGAACUAAAACAAUCACAACAUUGAUGAGAGAAGGUUGGUGUCUUCCAGUCAUGCAUAGAAAGAGGCUGGAAAAUUAUGGAUCCUAGGCAAAGGCACGCAUGGUUUUUAAAGCAGGUUGAAUGUAACUAGGUAAUCUCUGCAUGUUAAUCUGAGCUGUGGAGCCAGCUCUGGAGGUCUUGUUUCACUUUCUAAUUUUUGUUGUGUAUUGAAUGCCCUUAUUUCCAAUGAAGGAGAGGUGUUUAAAAACCCUGUGCCCUAUCAACAGAACAGCCCUAGAAAGGAAGUUUUACAGGGGCCUGCAAUCCUUUUACUAAUGAGUUCAAAAUAUAAUUAGUAAUAAAAUAAGUAGGAGAAGGUCCCAGCCUCUCCAAGUUAGACAGUGGAUCCAGCCUGCGCAUUAAAGAAAGGAGAGAAAAUCCAGAUUGAAGGAAGGAAUACAGGGCUGGGGGAGAGAUACCCAAACCUGGAUAAAAUCCACAUUGUAAUGAAAUGUUUGUCACUGGAAAAAAUGAGAACCUAUGCCUAGAUUCCAUUUUCUAUAGCAGACAUAACCUCAAGAGAUGCAUCUCAUGGCCAUUUGCCUUUCUUCCUCCCCAGUGAUAAGUAAUUGUACUUUUGAUAGGGGGUGCAUUAUUUUCUAACUUUUUACCCCUUACACAUUUGCAGACUAAUGGACGUCCAGUCACCUGCUGCAGGAAGCAUAAUCCAGCUUCAUAACCUUAAGGAUAAGACCCUAUCAAUAUUGCCUCUGCUUUUGUGAUCAGGGUAGUAGUGCAAUAUUGCUUAUAGGGUCUUUUCUUUGGAGGGUAUUCUUCAUGGAGAGAAGAAAAGCAGCAGCAGAACAGCCAUGCUGGUCACCUUAAGACAAAAGUUGUGCAAUAACAAACAUUGCUAGAUAGGCAAAUCAAUUUGUCCAAAUGUGUUAUUGUGAACAUUCGUGUUCAUGUGACAAAGAACUGUGCGCUGAUGCUCUUCUGAAUAUAAAUGCUCCCCUGACAAGUAACUGCAGAGAUGCUCUUGUGAUGACUCAAGUUGUAAAGGGGUGUAUUUUUGAUGUUAUGACGCAGGAUGCAUAACAGCCUUGUAUUAAAAAAGCACAAACAGUUGUACUUGCUUGAAACUGGA